UGGGGAAUAUUGCACAAUGGGCGCAAGCCUGAUGCAGCCAUGCCGCGUGUGUGAAGAAGGCCUUCGGGUUGUAAAGCACUUUCAGCGGGGAGGAAGGCGGUGAGGUUAAUAACCUCAUCGAUUGACGUUACCCGCAGAAGAAGCACCGGCUAACUCCGUGCCAGCAGCCGCGGUAAUACGGAGGGUGCAAGCGUUAAUCGGAAUUACUGGGCGUAAAGCGCACGCAGGCGGUCUGUCAAGUCGGAUGUGAAAUCCCCGGGCUCAACCUGGGAACUGCAUUCGAAACUGCAGGCUAGAGUCUUGUAGAGGGGGGUAGAAUUCCAGGUGUAGCGGUGAAAUGCGUAGAGAUCUGGAGGAAUACCGGUGGCGAAGGCGGCCCCCUGGACAAAGACUGACGCUCAGGUGCGAAAGCGUGGGGAGCAAACAGG
rnacentral:rRNA from 1 species